rnacentral:rRNA from 1 species
CGCAAGCCUGACGGAGCCAGACCGCGUGGGGGAGGAAGGCCCUUGGGUUGUAAACCCCUUUUCUCAGGGAAGAAACCUGACGGUACCUGAGGAAAAAGCCUCGGCUAACUCCGUGCCAGCAGCCGCGGUAAUACGGAGGAGGCAAGCGUUAUCCGGAAUUACUGGGCGUAAAGCGUCCGUAGGGGGCUCGUCAAGUCUGCUGUCAAAGCUCGGAGCUCAACUCCGACCCGGCAGUGGAAACUGGGGAGCUAGAGGGCGGCAGGGGCAGAAGGAAUUCCCGGUGUAGCGGUGAAAUGCGUAGAUAUCGGGAAGAACACCGGUGGCGAAAGCGCUCUACUGGGUCGCGCCUGACCCUCAGGGACGAAAGCUAGGGGAGCG